UUCUAUACUUAUUUCAGAUUCUCCGAGAAACCCCCGAGGGGAACUAUAAACAUGGCUGACACUGCGAAGGUUGUCGACCUUAUCAACAAUGCUCGACAGAUGGUCACAGAUGCUGUCGACAGGGUUAAAAUGCCGACUCCGAUGCGCCUGCGCGACCUUAUUCGUCAAAUCAGGGCUGCCCGAACUGCCGCAGAAGAGAGGGCUGUCAUAAAUAAGGAGUGUGCGUAUAUACGCCACGCUAUAAGAGAAGAGGACACAAUGUGGAGAUGUCGAAAUAUUGCUAAACUUCUCUACAUUCACAUGCUGGGAUACCCUGCUCACUUCGGUCAGAUGGAGUGUCUCAAGCUCUGCGCCAGUCAUAAGUUCACGGACAAGAGGAUAGGCUACCUGGGCGCUAUGCUGCUCUUGGACGAGAAGCAUGACGUAAAUAUUCUUCUCAUUCACUGCAUCAAGACAGAUUUGAACAGUAGCACACAAUUUGUUCAGGGUUUAGCUUUGUGUACUCUUGGUUCAAUAGCCUCCGGAGAUAUGGCUCGAGAUCUUGCUCCAGAAGUUGAGAAGUUGAUCAAAUCUUCAAAUGCAUACAUAAGGAAAAAGGCAGCUCUGUGUGCAUACAGAAUAAUCAAGAAGGUUCCAGAACUUAUGGAAAUGUUUAUUCCCGUCACAAGGUCACUUCUCUCUGAGAAGAAUCACGGAGUCCUGAUCACAGGGAUAGUUCUGAUCACGGAGCUAACUGAGAGAUCUCCGGAUACCCUAGAUCAUUUUAAACGUGUUGUCCCAAACCUUGUCAGAAUACUGAAGAACUUGAUAAUGUCUGGGUAUUCUCCUGAACAUGAUGUUUCCGGGAUAUCAGAUCCGUUUCUGCAAAUUAAGGUUCUGAAACUUCUGAGGAUACUGGGUAGGAAUGAUCCGAGUACAUCAGAAACUAUGAACGAUAUUUUAGCACAGGUUGCAACAAACACAGAGACGAGUAAAAACGUAGGAAAUGCUAUUCUAUACGAAACCGUUCUUUCAAUCAUGGAUAUUGAUUCAGAAUCAGGACUCAGAGUACUUGCGGUUAAUAUUCUCGGUCGAUUUCUUCUUAACAACGACAAAAACAUACGUUAUGUCGCCCUCAACACCCUUCUCAAGACCGUUGCUGUCGAUCACGCGGCUGUUCAGCGACAUCGAGCAACAAUCCUCGACUGUCUCAAGGACCCGGAUGUUACAAUAAAGAAGCGCGCGAUGGAACUCUGCUUUGCGCUCAUUAACUCCACGAAUAUCGAGCUGAUGAGCAAGGACCUGAUCCAGUUUCUUCACACAGCGGAUCCUGACUUCAAACAGUCCUGCUCUAGUAAUAUGAUGCUAGCGGCGGAUCAGUAUUCUCCGAACCGGCGGUGGCACAUUGAUACAAUCGUGAAGGUGUUGGAGGAGAGCGGGAAUAUGGUUCGUGAUGAUGUCGUCUUCAAUACAAUACAGAUUAUCAGCAGUAGUCCAGAACAGCAGAGGUACACCGUACACCUGGCCUGGAAAGCAUUGAUGGAAAUCAAACAUUGCAGUGAGUUCCAACCCUUGACACAGGUUGGGUGCUGGUGUAUCGGAGAGUACGGAAAUUAUUUGCUGGAGAGGUGUGAUGAGGUUGUAGGUGGAGGUGAGUCUGUAAGUGAAGGACGUGUUGUCUCCUGGUUCCAGGUUCUUCUCUCCUCCUCAUCCAUCUCCGUAGUAACUAAACAAUACGCUCUACUCUCCCUAGCUAAACUAUCCACCAGAUUCAAUUCAGUCAUUCAGGAAAUUCAAUCUACCAUCGAUAGUUUUGGAACCAAUAUAGACAUUGACCUUCAGCAGCGAGGAGUAGAAUUGGGUCAACUUUUCAGGAGUCAGUCAGGAUUAAGAUCAAAACUGCUUGAACCAAUGCCGCCGAUGGAAAAGGAAAAGGACAGAUUGGAAGAUUCACCGACAACUCCAAUGCCAAAGGUGAAUGGAGUAGGUCCCCAACAUAAUGGAGUUCAAGAGAAGAAUCCUCUACUUGAACUUCUCGACCUUGAUCUCUCAGCGCCUGUAGGUGGUCAGACUCUCCUAGGAGGAGGACUAGAUAUUGGUGGAGCUCCCUCUUCAAACUCAUUAGACGAUAUAUUAGGCCUUAAUCUGGUACCUUCAGUAACUGCCAUGCAGAACAGUAACUCCUUAAACCUCCUGGAUAGUUUAGGAGGUCCUGAUCUAACAUCCUUAGGACCAAGCAGUAUGCCCUUAGGUUUAGACGGCCUUCUUAACGGUGUGGAUACAUUGUCCCUCGCUACCCCGUCCUCUCAGGUUCUUCCAAUCACAGCUUAUGAGAAACAUGGUCUCCGGGUCCAGUUCACGUUUCCGGGUUCAGGUUCUCCGGGUGCAUCAUCGAUCUUACUGUAUGCACACAACCUUACUCCGCAACCUAUUCUCAACUUUGUUUUCCAGGCUGCUGUACCGAAAUCCAUGCAGCUGCAGUUGGAUCCUCCAUCAUCAUCUACAAUCCCGUCAGGAGGAUCAGUUACUCAACAGAUGGUUGUUAAUAAUCCUAGCAACGCAGUUCUCAGGAUGAAGCUAAAGAUUGCAUUCAGUGUUGGUGGAAUUCCAAUCUCCGACCUUGGAGAGGUCAACAGUUUUCCUAACUUUGCUUGAUCUGUCAGAGACAAUAGUUUUGACAGGAUUCUUUUCUCCGGGCUGUAAAUGAACCCGGGGCUGAAGGGACAGAACUGCAGCUAGAAAUACACUGGAGAAUUCUCUGUGAUGAAUACAGUCACGUGAUAGGAACCUGUAAAGACGCCUCUGAUCAGUGGAUCUUGGAAAGACACUUAAUUAAUAUUCUUGUUAUCCACGGUUUGAUAACCGUGAUGGAGAAGAGUUAACAAUGCUCUUUUAUUAAAUAUUUAAACAUCAUCUAACUCUGUGAUAGAUAUAACCCUGACACCAGGAACUAUCUGGACUGCAUAUCCGUUAUUCAGGGGAUGACUUGAAUUCUGGUCCAAUCUUCUGUUUGUAAAUCUUAAGGUCAUAAUAUGCGCGACCGUCAUACUUUAAAAUUUGUUCAGGGAAGUGGUUUUCCGCCAUAAAGGGGAAAUAAAACCUCUAAGCAGUCCAAUCCGGGAAUAUCAUAAGUGUAAUCCUAAAAAUUAAAACCCAAAUAUUUCCUGCUGAUUGUGAUUCAAAUUCUAAGUGGCUUGUUGUUAUCAAACUCGCUAUCGUAGAAUUAUUUCAGUUUACUAGAUCCGGGCGGAUCUGGUAAGGGGUAAAUGAAACAACCUUAAUGCCAUUCCUAGCUUUUUCCCUGCUCUUGAGUAAUGUUUUCUUAUAAGCUUGUCCAUCGUUAUGUAAGAAUCAUGGCGGAAAAACGGCAUAAAAACUAACAUUCCAAACUCAAAGCUCUUGCAAUAUUUUCGAGUUCUUUAUUUAAAACUUUUAUGGACCCCUGCCCCCCCCCCCCCCGUAUUAGCUGGAGCUCAUUGUAACUACCCACCAUAAUGUAUUGUACCAGUUUUCUAUUGCAUUUAAAUAUCCCAGUGUCUGAUUCCAGUUUUAUUAUGUUUAUCCAGUGUUUCCAAGCAUUUUUUUCAGCUCUUAAACAUUUAAUUUUGAAAUCUUGACUGCCAGUUUAGGGCAAUGAACAUAUCCUGUUUAGCCAGAGCUGAGUAAAUAUCUUUAAGAGGGUUUAGUUUGUAGAGAAAAAAGUAUAUUUUAUUCAAAAACUGUUUCCAAAAAAAACAUUGAGGGAUAUUUAUUUAAUUAUUUUACUAUUUGUAUUCUAGUGUAAACCUGGCAACGAAAUUAGUGCUCGCACUAUUUUAUAUAUUUUAUCUUAUUUUGCGCUGUGUACGUACUAGCGUCACAUAAAAACGAUGUAAUAAGUUUUAUUUUAUACAUAAAUGUUUAUGAAAUUUGCAAUUAAAGUUGAACUUCAAACAAA
rnacentral:misc_RNA from 1 species